UGCUAGAGGAGGUCACAAGACAAGUGGAGCAAGUCCAUCUAAUACCCAGGAAGCUCAUUAGUUUUUAGGACUCUACUUUGCUAGGCUUAUGUAAAA